CAGUGAUGGGAGAAGCUGGUGGGAAACUCAGCCCCAGCAGUCUCUUCAGGAAUACGCAAAGGUCUGGAGGUCUUGGCAGCGGCUCUUCCAGUUACCCAGAGCCUGCUGGCUUAUCCAGCGUUAUACAUCCUUUCAAUUUGGGGAUGCCCUUGGGUUUGACAAGCUCAGCUGAGAUCCAUAGCUGUUUGCCCCCUAGUUCAGCCCUGCAUCUACCUCUCUCUAUCUCCGGGAAAUCUGGUUUUGCUCCUCCUGUAAAUCCUACUUUUCCAGGCUCUACCCCUACUCCCCUUUUUACAAGUGGGAAAACUGGGCCAGGCUCCAGUCUUUAAUCUCAGCACCCUGGAGACAGAGGUAAGCUGAGGCCAGCCUAGUCUCACAGCAAGUUUCGAACCAGCCUACGGCUAACACAGCGAGAUUCUGCCUAAGAUAAAAAUUCAAAGUGGGGAAACUGAGGCUGAAGGGGCAAGUCACACAGCAGCGCACAGCGGACUGAACUGUGUCGGCUCGGAUGCUCAGGGCUUCAUCUGGCUGAAGGCGUUAUAACCCCCAAACUCUGCCCGUGACCGUUCAGGAACAGCAGUAGCAAAGUCACCCUCUCCCACGUCACCAGGAGCCUUGGUGGCCCCUCCGGCUCACUGUCCCCUAGCCCUCAAGACAAAAUCACCUGAGGUACAGCUGGAGCGAUUUAGACUGCCAGGCCAGGCUUGAGUCCCUCCUACAGGUCGAGAAGGGGCACAGUGGAGUCGGUGACCAUACCUGAUCAGAUUGCCCUGAAAUUCCCUGUUUAUAUAAUAAAUAUGUGCCAAGUGGUGCCCAGUACUUCCUGAACCUCCUGAAGGGCUCCCCUCCCUCAAGCCAAUAGUCCUGCUAUUCUUAGACUUCCGGGGCUCCCAUGGCCCUCAGCCAGAAUCGAAAACCUCCACUUGGCGUUGGGAGUCCCCAAAGCUUGGGAGUCUCUGAGUCCACCCCUCUCCCACCUCCUCUUAGUGAACCCAUGCUGUGGGCAAGAGCUCUUGCCCUGUCUCCUCCAUGUUCCCACCUCUGAGGCCUCCACCCCUCUGUAAGGAUGCCAGCUACUCUCCUCUUGGCCACUCUAACAGGAAAUCCUCCCCGGCUGACCAAGUUUUCUCAACACAGGCAGGAUCUUUCUUGGGGACAAUGCUACCACACCGAAUCCCCAACCGCCUUCUGUAGUCAGCACCUUGCCUAGUUGGUCCUUCUACAGGGGAACUGCCAGGUGCUGAGGCAGGGCUAACAGGGCAGGAGUGAUGCAGGAGGAUGGACAUGUUUCCCAGCUGAGGCAGGCCUGGCACGGGAGCCAGCUUGAUACCAAAUGACAGUGGCUAUUCCCGUGAAGGGAACAGAGCCCAAGAGCAAGCCCUAUUCCUUUCUACAACCAUUUUGCCUGGUUGUAGGCCCAGAGAGUCUUCCCAGAAGCUGUGCCAGCAGAGAACCCAGUAAUGAGUGAUGGGUUUAAGAUCACACUAUCUAAUACAAUCGUCCCUGGCCACAUGUGGCCGUUGAGCACUUGAAAUAGAGCUUCCUCGAGUAGAGAGAGGCCAGAAGUAUAAAACACACCGGAUUCCAAAGAUUAGUACAGAAGAUAGUGUAAAACACCUCAAUAAUAGUUUAUGUUGAUAAUACGUAAAAAUCGGUGUGCUUAGGAUACAUUUUAAGUUAAAAUAAAACAAUUUUUUAUUCUUCUUACGGUAGUAAGGAUUGAACCCAGAGCCUUAGGUAACUGGGCAAUUGCUCUACUGGCUGAGCUACGCCUCCAUCUCUAAAAAUUUAUUAGUAAAAUGACUGGUUGACACAGGCUUAGCAUGCUUGGGUUACUAGGUUCUAUCUCCUGUACUAAAACAAAAGACGAUUUUCGUUUACAUUUUUUUUUUUUUAUAUCGCUAUAGGAAAAUCUGAAGCUACAGAUGUGGCUCAGGUUACGCCAUUUCCAUUUUACGGAGGAGGAAACCAGCUUAGGAGAUCUUGAAUGGCAUGGUCUACAAUGGCUGCCCUGAGGUUUGUGCCUCGAAGGGACGAAUACCGCCUAAAUGUUUCAUGCUCACAGUCACCUUCCUCUUCUCACUGACUUGUGACAGACAGUAUUACAUUCUGUCUUUGAGGGCAGCCACAGCAUUGGUGCUGAGAUCCAAGGAUGUUAGAAGUCCCCCAAGAUGUCCCCACAAGAGCAGCCAUUGUCAUUUAGGAUUGAAUUUAGGCUGACACUGUUGUUUGCCCUUCUUCGCUGUCCCCAGCUAACUCCAGCUACAGCCCAAGGGCCUCUGCUACUUCAGCCCCUAUCAGUCAGGAUACCAGCUCCCUUCCAGAAAGUAACUCCUGUCAGUUCCCUUGCCCCCUCAUCCAACAGGAGCGCCCUAGAGGGUGCAUGUCCCCAGACAGCUCAGUCCAUAGGGGAUAUCCCCAGGUUUCUGCAGGAGCAGCUAUAGUAGCGACCAUGACAUUGGGAGCAAGUUCUUUGUGAUAAGAGCUCCAAGGUCUGUUAGCUUCAUGGCUACCUCCCUUCCCCGUCUCUCAGAGAAAAGACCUCCUCUGGGGUCCUAGACUUGGUUCAUCUCUGAGGUAUUUGGGAGGGCAGCCUGUGGUUCUAGUCAGGACAGGGAUCCAAUUAUGCCUACAUACCUGACUGGCCAGGGAGGGCUUCUCUGGGUCUUGUGAGCAAGCAAAACCUAUCUCAUCUUGUAUCCUUGAAAUGUACCGAGGAGCCUGAACUGGAUGAAGAUUCAGGACCUAGACCUAGGUCCCUGGAGGCUAGGUUUGCUGGAGGCAUUUGGCAUCUGGCUGGGUCAUCCCAUUUGGAUGUAAAAGGGUCAGAUUUUAGGCUGUGAUUGUAAAGUAAGGAGGCCACAUUGGGUUUUUAAAUAGUUUUAAAUUUAAGAAAAUGAAUUAAGAGAAAGGACUUAUGGAGUGAGGAUUCUUGGCGGCCUCGGGAUAAUUAUAAAACCAGCUCCAAUUUUCCAAGUCCUUUGCAGUUCCAAGCCUGAGGGGCCACAGUCCCCAGGGGAGCUGGCUGGACAAGGUCUUUGGCACACCCAACAGAAUGGGGCUAUCCCUCUGCCUCCAGGAGGGCACCAUCAUUCCCCACCCCUUCCUUAGAUCCAGAUGCAAGAGAGUGGUCAGACAAAUCUAUUUCGAUGCCUGCUCUGUUGCUUGUCCAUAAAACGGAGUAACGGCAGUUCUCAGUACAGAGUUGAACCUCUGCCCCCAGACCCUCCAUUGCUCUUACAGCUCACACUGCUGGCUUUUCUUCCCCUCCACCAAAGCCACCUGGGGGGAAAGGUGCUUCCAGAUACAUCACCCCUACCAUUUUUUGUACCUGAAACCUGGAGAAAGAAACCAGCCUGAAACCAGGGCACAGCUAUACCUGGCCCUGUGUCAGGGCAGCCACUGCUGAGGCACCUCCCCUUUCCCAUUCUCUCAGCCUCACCCACUCUGGAGGCAGAUGUGCCUUGCACUUGGGAACAGGAGGUGCAAUGGAUGGAGUAAGCUUCACCUUUUUCUUUUUUCUCUCCCUCCCUCUCCCUUCUUGCCUUUCUAUCUCCUCUUCCUCCUCCUCCUCCUCCUCCUCCUCCUCCUCCUCCUUCUCCUCCUCCUCCUCCUCCUCCUCCUAAGAUUUAUUUAUUUUAUUUAUAUGAGUACACUGUCACUAUCUUCAGACACACCAGAAGAGGGCAUCAGACCCCAUUACAGAUGGUUGUGAGCCACCAUGUGGUUUCUGGGAAUUGAACUUAGGACCUCUGGAGGAGCAGUUGGUGUUCUUAACUGCAGAGCCAUCUCUCCAGCCCCCCCUCCUCCUCCUCUUCUUCUUCCUCCUUCCUCAUCUUCCUCUCCCCUCCUCCUCUUCUUCCUCUCCCCUCUCUUUCUUUUUAUAGUAUUGGGGAUUGGGCCUAGAACUUCAUGCAUGCUAGGCAAGUGCUAAGCCACACACCUAGCCUUUUAAUUUUAAAUUUAUCUAUCUAUCUAUCUAUCUAUCUAUCUAUCUAUCUAUCUAUCUAUCUAUCUAUCUAUUACUUAUUCUCUGGAAACUUCAUACACGUGUACAAUUGUGGGGCCAGGGAGCUGUGGGACCAGGAGGAGCAAGAAUGGUUGAAGUGUGUCCUAACCCAGGAAAUCUCCCCUGAGAUCAGCAGGAGUGGGAUCACUGCCCGCACCGCUCUAGGCUGGCACGCCCCUGAGCAUGUAGCCCUGUGCCCCCAACCCUUGCCUCACCAGAGGAAGUCACAGAGCCAGAAUCCAGGCUAAACUUCCUUUCUUACGAGGUCGUGUCCAGCAGCAUGUGGGAUUCCUCCUUACACUAAUGAGGAGGAACCCUCAUAAUUAAUGAGGAGGUGCUUAUCCUCAGCACCCUGGCGUUGGCCAAUGACGUAAACUUACCCCAGUAGCCCCUCCUCACCCCCCAAGGUUUAAAUAGCCUUUAUUCCCCACCCCCAAUAAACUGAACCAGUUCUCCAAAGCUGCUCCCCAGUGUGUGUUCUUUGCCUGCGCACUCUCCUCUCAUUCAUUGCUGACCAAGAUCCUGCCUGCAACCCACCAGCCUGGCUAAGCCUCUUUUCCUCCAGUCCAGCAGGUGUGCAAUGGCCCU
rnacentral:lncRNA from 1 species